CCAGACAACUUGUGGAAAACUGCCUUAAGUCUAAUGAGUGAACUUGGGGAGAAUUUGCCAUCACUGGAAAGAGAUUUUAAAUCAGCCUAGCAUUCGAAGCCUGAUAUUUGGGCCAUGCACAUGCUGCUUCAUCUCUAGAGUUUAUAAAUACAGGACCCCAGAUUCCAGUCCCAACGUUUAGCAACUUAGCUUUCAUCAAGCACUAAUAGGAGAGGAAGAAUGUGUUUGCGUUUGCAAGUUUUCCAUGUGAGUUAAGUAAAGAUUGUUUGCUCAAGUCUGCAGUUUGGAAGAGAAAGAAAAAACAAGGCCUCUGCCCCAUCUUGUCCCUUGGAGGUAAGCAGGCAAGCCAUUGUUCCCUGAGCAGCUGAGACUUGUGGGCAGAGGAACGACUGGAGGAUCAUCUGUGAGGCUUCCGAAAAAUUUCCCCACAGACUUAUUAUUGUCAACAACGUGGUGGGCUGUUUUGUUUCCCUUUUCAUUCCUUAUUUAUUGCCCAGAGCAAAUGGUAAUGGCAACUGAAAAUGGAAAAAGUGGCCAGAAGUGAAAUAUAGGAAUAGGGCAUUGCACAAAAGAGGAAGG